rnacentral:rRNA from 1 species
AGAGUUUGAUCAUGGCUCAGGAUGAACGCUAGCGGCGUGCUUAAUGCAUGCAAGUCGAACGGUUAAGAAAUAUUCGCAAGAGUGCUUCAAGAUAGUGGCGAACGGCUGAGUAAUACGUAAGUAACCUGCCCUCUGGUGAGGAAUAACACGCCGAAAGGCAUGUUAAUACCGCAUGGUCUCUUUAUCAUGCGUGAUAAAGAGUAAAGCCUUGUGCGCCAGUGGAGGGGCUUACGACCUAUCAGGUAGUUGGUGAGGUAACGGCCCACCAAGCCGAAGACGGGUAGUUGGUCUGAGAGGAUGAUCAGCCAGACGGGGACUGAGAUACGGCCCCGACUCCUACGGGAGGCAGCAGCAGGGAAUAUUGCGCAAUGGGCGAAAGCCUGACGCAGCGACGCCGCGUGAAGGAUGAAGGCCUUCGGGUUGUAAACUUCUUUUACUGAGGAAGAUAAUGACGGUACUCAGUGAAUAAGCAUCGGCUAACUACGUGCCAGCAGCCGCGGUAAUACGUAGGAUGCAAGCGUUAUCCGGAUUUAUUGGGCGUAAAGAGCGUGUAGGUGGUUCUUUAAGUCGAGUGUGAAAUCUCUCAGCUUAACUGGGAGGGGUCAUUCGAUACUGAGGGACUUGAGGGUAGCAGGGGAAAGCGGAAUUCCCGGUGUAGCGGUGAAAUGCGUAGAUAUCGGGAGGAACACCCGUGGCGAAGGCGGCUUUCUGGGCUACAUCUGACGCUGAGACGCGAAAGUGUGGGUAGCAAACAGGAUUAGAUACCCUGGUAGUCCACACCCUAAACAUUGGACACUAGGUAUGGGGGGUAUCGACCCCCUCCGUGCCGUAGCUUACGCGUUAAGUGUCCCGCCUGGGGACUACGACCGCAAGGUUAAAACUCAAAUGAAUUGACGG